rnacentral:misc_RNA from 1 species
UAUGAAGAACGUAGCAAAAUGCGAUACUUGGUGUGAAUUGCAGAAUCCCGUGAACCAUCGAGUUUUUGAACGCAAGUUGCGCCCGAAGCCUUUUGGCCGAGGGCACGUCUGCCUGGGCGUCACGCAUCGCGUCGCCCCCCACAAUUCUCCGUAAAGGGAACAUGUGUUUUGGGGGCGGAUAUUGGUCUCCCGUGCUCAUGGCGUGGUUGGCCGAAAUAGGAGUCCUUUCGAUGGACGCACGAACUAGUGGUGGUCGUAAAAACCCUCGUCUUUUGUUUCGUGCUGUUGCUCGCAAGGUAAACUCUUUAAAAACCCCAAUGUGUCGUCUCUUGACGACGCUUCGACCGCGACCCCAGGUCAGGCGGGACUACCCGCUGAGUUUAAGCAUAUCAAUAAGCGGAGGA